rnacentral:rRNA from 1 species
UGGUAAUGCCGGAUGCUCCAGUUGACCGCAUGGUCCUCUGGGAAAGCUUUUGCGGUAUGGGAUGGGGUCGCGUCCUAUCAGCUUGAUGGCGGGGUAACGGCCCACCAUGGCUUCGACGGGUAGCCGGCCUGAGAGGGCGACCGGCCACAUUGGGACUGAGAUACGGCCCAGACUCCUACGGGAGGCAGCAGUGGGGAAUAUUGCACAAUGGGCGCAAGCCUGAUGCAGCGACGCCGCGUGCGGGAUGACGGCCUUCGGGUUGUAAACCGCUUUUGACUGGGAGCAAGCCCUUCGGGGUGAGUGUACCUUUCGAAUAAGCACCGGCUAACUACGUGCCAGCAGCCGCGGUAAUACGUAGGGUGCAAGCGUUAUCCGGAAUUAUUGGGCGUAAAGGGCUCGUAGGCGGUUCGUCGCGUCCGGUGUGAAAGUCCAUCGCUUAACGGUGGAUCCGCGCCGGGUACGGGCGGGCUUGAGUGCGGUAGGGGAGACUGGAAUUCCCGGUGUAACGGUGGAAUGUGUAGAUUCGGAAAAAGAA